rnacentral:rRNA from 1 species
AGCGAACGCUGGCGGCAGGCUUAACACAUGCAAGUCGAACGGGCAUCUUCGGAUGUCAGUGGCAGACGGGUGCGUAACACGUGGGAACGUACCCUUCGGUUCGGAAUAACUCAGGGAAACUUGAGCUAAUACCGGAUACGCCCUUUUGGGGAAAGGUUUACUGCCGAAGGAUCGGCCCGCGUCUGAUUAGCUUGUUGGUGGGGUAACGGCCUACCAAGGCGACGAUCAGUAGCUGGUCUGAGAGGAUGAUCAGCCACACUGGGACUGAGACACGGCCCAGACUCCUACGGGAGGCAGCAGUGGGGAAUAUUGGACAAUGGGCGCAAGCCUGAUCCAGCCAGGCCGCGUGAGUGAUGAAGGCCUUAGGGUUGUAAAGCUCUUUUGUCCGGGACGAUAAUGACGGUACCGGAAGAAUAAGCCCCGGCUAACUUCGU